rnacentral:misc_RNA from 1 species
GAAAUGCGAAAAGUAGUGUGAAUUGCAGAAUUCAGUGAAUCAUCGAAUCUUUGAACGCACAUUGCGCCCCUUGGUAUUCCAUGGGGCAUGCCUGUUCGAGCGUCAUUUGUACCUUCAAGCACUGCUUGGUGUUGGGUGUUUGUCCCGCCUUUUGUGCGUGGACUCGCCUUAAAGCCAUUGGCAGCCGGCGUAUUGGCCUUGGAGCGCAGCACAUUUUGCGCUUUUUGACCAGAACGCGGGCGUCCAGUAAGCCUACACUUUUGCUCUUGACCUCGGAUCAGGUAGGGAUACCCGCUGAACUUAA